GCACGUAACUGCGUGAUCUCUGCCAUCAUACGAACCUGCUGCGCGACUAAAGUAGACAUCUGACCCAUAAGCGUCACCAUGGGGUCAACAGGCAAGGAAGCCAUCCCUGGAGUAGAAGUAGAUGUCGAAGGAAAGGCAGCUCGAAGCGGAACAGCUGAAGGAAAAUCCGAACGAGGCGGAAGAAAGACACGGGAACCCCCAGUAAGAAUAUCAGUAAUAGGAUCAAAGGGCUCCGAAAAAUCAAAAACAUCAACGGGCUCAGCCUGAGCGGCAGCAU
rnacentral:lncRNA from 1 species